rnacentral:rRNA from 1 species
AUUGAACGCUGGCGGCAUGCCUUACACAUGCAAGUCGAACGGUAACGGGCCUUCGGGUGCCGACGAGUGGCGAACGGGUGAGUAGUACAUCGGAACGUGCCCGAUCGUGGGGGAUAACGAGGCGAAAGCUUUGCUAAUACCGCAUACGAUCUACGGAUGAAAGCAGGGGACCGCAAGGCCUUGCGCGGACGGAGCGGCCGAUGGCAGAUUAGGUAGUUGGUGGGAUAAAAGCUUACCAAGCCGACGAUCUGUAGCUGGUCUGAGAGGAUGAUCAGCCACACUGGGACUGAGACACGGCCCAGACUCCUACGGGAGGCAGCAGUGGGGAAUUUUGGACAAUGGGCGCAAGCCUGAUCCAGCCAUGCCGCGUGCAGGAUGAAGGCCUUCGGGUUGUAAACUGCUUUUGUACGGAACGAAAAGCCUUCUUUUAAUACAGGAGGGUCAUGACGGUACCGUAAGAAUAAGCACCGGCUAACUACGUG